rnacentral:tRNA from 1 species
GGCCAGGUAGCUCAUUUGGUAGAGCAGCGGAUUGAAAAUCCGCGUGUCGACGUAGAGCAGCGGAUUGAAAAUCCGCGUGUCGACGGUUCGAUUCCGCCCCUGGCCACCA